UUACGUGGCGAGGUUAACUUUUCUUUGUGCUUGCUCCGCGCUGAAACUGAUGUAUAUAGUUGAACUUUUGUUUCUCUUUGGCAAGGCAUAUACCAGCUCUUACCAAGUUAUGCGAAGCCAAUGGAAGCUACUGACCGACGAUCUUGGAGCAAUACCGUCUCUCUGUGGUGGUAAAGGCUUCCGUCGCUCGGCAAUGGAUACGCACUCCGCUACAU